UCCUGGCUAUCCCGCCUCCUGUUGUCACCGAAACCUGAUCGCCUCACCUGAUCGCCUUUUAGCUGGAUCGUGCAGCUCGCCGUUGUUUGGCAGUUCAUUGGCCGGGUCUUCCCUCUCCCGUAUCGACCCCAGUUGUAGGGCGUGCGAGUGUUUCCUCCUCUACCUGUUGCAGCGGGGAGCGAUCAGCUGAUUGAUCGAGUUGCACUUGUAAUUGUGCUGCUCGGUACAAGUGAUCCCCUUCCUCCCCUUUGAUGUUCAUUCAACUCCUGACGGGUUGACGUGUGUGUGUGGGCGGUUUCUGCCAGUACGUCCCCCCCCCCUCUUCACGCUGCUGUUGGCCGGCUGCUGUUUUGUCCACUGGUUUAUAUAGCCAACACAUCCACCCUACUCUGCAUCUCCUACUGUGCUGUACCUGCCACCGAGUAUGGUGAUUGCUGCCUCAUUAUCUUAAUCUAAUCAUUUGACCGACUUCUAACUGAUCUUAUUGAUAUUAUUUGUGUUUUGUGGGUUGCUUUGCAUGUUUGUUUUUGUUUAAUUCGUUUUCUUAGUUAUUUUUGGUUUGGCUUAAUUGCUUUACUUAUUCAUUUGGAUUUAUCAGUUUGGAUAAAUCUCCAUUACUUUUGAUUUCAUUUCUUUGUUGUUAUUUGCCCUCCCCUUUUUGUGUAUUUUGUGUGUGUGUGUGUUCGCUUUAGUGUGGUUAUGUGAACAUAUUUUAUUGAGAAGUCAUGUUUAAAGAUUAUAUAUAUAAAUUAAAAGGAAUUGAAUUUGUAUGCUGGACCCAGUCUCAAGCUUUCAUUAGUGAACGAACUUGUGUGCUUUAACUUAGGUUAAUCUAACUCUCCAGGUGAAAUUCCUGGGGUGGCGUUGUUGGCAACUUGUCACUAGUUCUUUAACUGAACUUUAUCUUAUUGUUUCCCCGACCGCCGAAUGCCACAUUUGGCGUUGUCGGCAGGAUAAUUACUUUUGGAAAGCAGAGACGUGUGGUCCAGUUUCUUUAUAUAAUUUGUUUUGUUUAUUUUAAUAGUCCCCAGGGUACAUAUUUGAUGUAGAUGUUUUGAAUUGUGAGGCAAAACGGCAGCUUGGCCUUUCGUGGUCCGCAGAGUCCCGGUGAGAAUCCAGUUGUGGGGUUGUUGUGUCCUAGUCUGACUGUAGUAUUAGUUAUGGAUGUAGAGCUGCAGGAGUUGAGGGAGCUGGUGGCGCAGUUAAAGGUGGACAAUGAGAGGUUGCGGCAGGAGCAGGCUGUGGCCGUGCCCGGUCCUAGUUCUGAAUCCUCCACUUCUUCUGUGCCACCUGUGGCCCCUGUUACUACUAGGAACCCCAUAGCAGAGAGGCUGGUUUUUGUGCCAAGGGAUAGAAAGUGUCCUAUGUUCAGGGGAAAAUCAGGUAUGGGGUUGACUGAGUGGCUUGAGGAGGCUCAAGCCUGCAUGCGGGCGUGUCACUUAUCCACAUCUGAGCAAGCCUUUUUCUUGUUUGAUCAUCUUGAGGGUGAGGCUCGAGAGGAGAUCAAAUAUCGGUCUGUUGUGGAGAAGGAAGACGGAAGCUAAAAUCAUCUCUGUGUUACAGGAACUGUAUGGGUGCUCAAAAUCUUAUGUAGCCUUACAGGAGGCGUUCUUCUCCCGACGGCAAUGUUGGGAAAAAUAACCUGCUGAGUACAUCACAUGUACAUUACAAAUAUAGCUAACUCCUACCCUAGCCUGAUGAGCACAUCACAUGGCAGACACAUUACAAUAUAGUCAACUCUUGCUCUAACCCAACGAACACAUAACACAAACAUGAUAAUAUAGUCAGGUCAAGGCCGGAGCCGAAGGCCCCAUUUCCCCAUCCAGGCAAAUGGUAGACACUCAGACAAUGCACCAGCCAUCCUCAAGAACGGGAGAGCCACAUUCAUUUAUCACACAGGAGACAUUUUGAGAGCUCUCCCCCGUUAGGAGGAACACAAGAAGAUACACAUGCACCUACCAGGGCCUGAGAGCCAAGGUCAAGCAAAAACACACAGAACCACACACAUCUCAAACGCACACACCUCAUCAAGAGGAGGAUACAGCAUAAGACUGUAUCACACAGGGACUCUUCAUCUUCUUCUAAAGCAGA